UUCUGUUUAAUAUAUAUGUAGUGAUAUCUCAACCUGCUCUUAAUUUCCAUUUCCCAAAGGCUAAUGUUACUGAACAUCUUUCAAUAAAUUUAUUUGCCAUAUGCAUAUCGUCUUCACUGAAAUGUCUGUUUAAAUGUUUUGCCCAUUUUAAGUUAGAUUAUUGUUAAUUCUUUUACUAUUGAUUGUCGAGGGAUCUCUACCUAUUCUAGAAAUAAGUCUUUUUGUCAGAUAUGUGGUCUAUAAGUCUGUUUUAUCAAUUUGUGGCUUUUCCUUUCAUCCUCUUAGCAAAGUCUUUCACAGAAUAAAUCUUUAAUUUUGAUGAAAAAAAAGUAAAUAUGUAUCAUGCUUAACAAGUUUCUGUCUUCUUAUUAGGCCUUAUUCAAGACUCCUUUUAUACGUUAGGAUGGUGGAGAAAAGAAUGAAGAACCUCAGGGGGAAAGAUGAUAUUGCCUUACAGUAAUCACUUCCACUGGUCCACAACAUGCAGAAAUUACUCUCAUAUACACAUUAUCACUUUAUCCUUACAACAAUUCUAUAAGGGAAGGAAGCAGACAUAAAAAGUGAAAUUUUACAAAUUAAAAAAACUCAGAAAUUGAAGGCCAUAAUGGACUAACACAAGGAUUCAAUGAGUAAGUAAUAAUAACAAUUAGCAAAUUCCAGAGUGCCUGGGUAGCGCAGUCGUUUGAGCAUCUGCCUUCAUCUCAGGUCCUGGGAUUGAGCUCUGGGCCAGGCUCUCUGCUCAGGGGGGAGUCUGCUUCUCCCUCUGCCUCUGCCCCCCCCCCCCACUUAUGCUUGCUCUCUCUUUCUCUCUCUCAAGUAAAUAAAAUCUUUUUUAAAAAAAAGUAGUCAGUUCCUAAUCCAAGACUUGUACCCAUCCUUUUGGCAUCUGUCCUCGAUAUUGUUUUCCUGAGAUAUCUGCUCUAGUGAUCAUAAUAAAUCUUAACUUUUAUUGAGUGCUUUCUCUAUACCAGCCAGACACUGGUAACUCAUGACAUAUAUCACCUCUUUUAAUCCUAUAAUGUAAGUACCAUUACUGCAGUCCUUAUUUUGAAGACCUGUAAACUUAAGGCUAAGAGAAUUUAAGUGACCUUUCAAAGCUAUCACAGACGCUAAGUGCUAGAACUAGAAUUUCAGUCAAGGCAAACUCACUCCAAAGCCCAUUUCCCCAGUCAUAAUACCAAGCUAUUAUAGAUAGAGCAAGUAGAAUCUGUUAAAAAUCCCAUUUGCCACCUCCAGUGUUAAGUAUCUUAAAAUAAUUUCAAAUACUAAUAUUUUCUGAGACUUUUAACAACACCAUACUGAUAAAUUAAUAUAUAAACACUAUGGACAUUUUCUUUCUCACUCAUGAUAUUCAUUGAAAAAAUUAUUUCUCAGCUUCUCUCCCAGCCUCUGAAAAAUUUCCACAGUGGGAGAUCUGAUGAUUUGCCCUUUUACCAUUUGAUCCCUAGGAACAUCUAUCUAUAGCCACCGGUGUAAUUAAAGAUGUGUCAAAACAUGAGGGCUGUCAGCAAGGCUGACUUUAUUAUUUGCUCAGAAAAUAUAAAAUAUCCAUUAUAAAGCCAGCAUUUCAUGAUUACAAAUAUUUCUUAGAAGCAUAAUUUAAUAAUAAGUAACACUAAUUCACCCAAAUUAAAACAACUAUUUGUGAGACCUCCUCCAAGACGUCUUCUAUUAUUGAACUAAACAUUACCUUACUUGUUUUUAAAAAUACAAUUCAGACUGUUUCUCAUUAAAAUUUUGUUUUGGUUUUGUAAAUCUAGCAUCUGCUAUUUAAAUACAUUCCAUUAAGUUGUAUACCAUUUAGAGUUAGAAGAGACACCCAGGACUAUAUAAUCUAAAAGUAUCAAGUUAUAGUUGGAGAAGCAUAGUUCCACAAAGUUUCCUGUGACCAGGGUCCCCCAGUGAGUUGAUGACAAAGCCAGGACUAUGUAUGGUCCAGAACAACAAUAUUUUACCAUCUCACUUUCUGUGUUACUUUUAUUAGCAUAUUAAUAAUCUCUCUCUCCAAUAAAGAAAGUCUAGAAACUUGGUCUCUAAUUAUAUACAUAACCUCAUAUAUAACUAUACAGACUUUCAUAUCCUUUGAAUCUGGGAAAACUCCUCCAGAUCCAGUUCUGAUGAGGCUGCACCAGCUCCCUCAGACAGAAUGAGUCAUUCUGUCACUGUGUUCCCAGAAAGCAGUGUUCACAUUUCAACUAUAAUAGUUAUCACAUUUUAUUCUAAUUUACCCUGUUUAAAUGUAUGCCUCCUCUACAGGACCCAGUUCAUCUAGACAAAUCCACCUUGUGAACUCAAACAUUUUGCAUAAAACAUGCAUUCAGUAAAAGUUUUUAUGAAUGAAUGUGUUAUGGAAUCAAUCAGUUAUUAGAGAUUGCCUUGUCCACUCCCUGAGCUCAAAGAGACAGAAUAAUUGACUUAUCGGUAUCAUACAAAAAUACUUUUGUAGAAAUCAAACAUAAAUAAAGCAAAGCAGACCGUUGUAAAGAUUAUUCAGGGGAGGAAAGGGGAGGAGAUUGUAUCAGACUGUACAAUCUGUACCAGAUUGUAUCAAAUAAAAAAUCAGGAAAUAGAAACCACACAAUGAUUAAACAGAAGUUUAAUAUAAAGCAUUAUUAAACUCAGGAGAAUAACUAUAAAGAUAUAAAGAGAACUCUAAUUUUAGUAUAUGUGCUGCCAAAGCGAGCACUGUAAAGAGAACUCUAAAGGAUACCUUGAAUCAAGUGUGAAUCCAGGGAAGGACAGACUUAGAAAAAAGACAAAUUUGGCUCCCUCCCCAAGGCUGAGCUUCAGCCUCAUCAAAGAAGAUGUAUGUGGUUG
rnacentral:lncRNA from 1 species